GCGGAAGCAGAUAAUGACAUGAAGUGUCAGGGCUGCUUGCUUCCAGAGGGUUCUUCUGCUCAGUCUCUAAAUGUAGCUGGUGUGUCUCUCUGGCCCUAAACCUGCUGCUUAAAAGUGCCACCUGUCAACAACGUGGCACACAUACAGUUUGCUCCUGCUGUGCGUAAACUCGCCUGGGAGUCACCGGCUUCCACCCAACACUCCGGGAAAGGCUGCAGAGGAGAAGUGGAGUCUUGAGCUUGACCUGGCUGGAGGAGAAAGAGGGAGCCAGGACAAGAAGGAGCAUCCAGGAUGGGGUGCAUGGCUUGUGCAAAGGCAUGGAGGUGCUUGAAUUGCUUCAGCACACCAUCCAGUGGGUUCUACUCUCAGAUCACAUGGACAAUGCAGCAGUUCUCCGGCUUCCACUGCUAACACUGGCGCAAACCACUGUGGCGUCCCUGUGGCUCUUGCCACAGCCUCCACUUCUAACCAUGACAGAUCAUUUGCAGCCGGGAGCCACCAAUUCCAGGGCUUCCCAAUGAAAUGUGGAAGCAAAUUCAUUUCGAAAUUCAACAGCGGCCCUACUGAGCUGUCUCUCUGCUCCAGCUUCACCACACUCAGAGUGCCCGAACUCAGGACUUUGCACCAAAUGCCCCUAUUUAUGCAGCUGUGAGAUGUGCUCAUCUGCUUGCUCUCUGUCCAAAUGCUGCUGCAUGGACUUGUCCUGUCACAUUAAAGGGGGACUC